rnacentral:lncRNA from 1 species
UUUAUGCCUUUUACUUGCUGACUUUACAUGGUGACAGAAGUGGGAUCCCUAGCUACUGACCUUCAAUUCUGGUGCCACUUCACAGACACAAGCAAGGUGCCUGCAAAGAAUCUUUUGUGCUCUGUCGUCUCCUCCUGGUGGCUCUGGUUCCUGGUGAUUGGUUGCAGACAAUGAUACAGGCGUCAGGAAUGGUGGAGCCAAGAGACGGGAAUUCAUGGGUGACUGACACACCCUGUGGAAGAGAACCACCUGCCCAACGCAAAACCCACCUUGGCCUGUUUGUCAAGAACUUGCUCCCAGAAAAAACCUGGAUGGAGAACAAAACAGAAAGUUAGCAGCGGGGAAGGAACUCGGGGCUGCAACAGGGCCCGGCGGCGGCGGCGGCAGAGGCUGAAGCAGGAGCCGCGUCGGAGCCGGGGAAGCGGGGGCGCUGCAGACGGAGCAGGUGCAGCCGGCGGGUCCGCGCGCCCCCCUCGGUCCCCUUGCCGGAGGCUGAGGGGGGGGUGGUGGGGGGCCACCCGGACUGCGCGGGAAGAGUGGGGAGGGGGAUCAUGCAGCCGGGCUCUUCCCCGGCGCAGCGAGACAGCGGCCAGGGCCGGGGGUGCAGUGGCGUCGCUUCAUGCAGCCUGGGCGGCUGGGCUGGGUGGGGGGACGGGCGGGGUGCUUUCUGAAGCUGCCUAGCUCCACGCCUGGGAAUCCCCAGCCCAGGUGCCCGCGGGGUGUUUCCCAACCCAGGCUCUUGUGGGGCUCUGCUCUGCUGCGUUGGGGACGCUAAGGCAUGAAGCAGGAUAGCUAGAUUGACUGAAGGGCUUUGAGUUCUCCUGGAAUCUCUCAAAAUCGCCCUCAAACGUAUUUGCGUGUCUGACAUCCGACUUUAGUAUUUUCAGGUUAGAACAAAAUGAACAGGGAACGGUUAAACAGAUGACGCUGGUGAGUUUGGGCUUGCUAGAAAAGACUGAGGAUGUUCCCCAUCUCCAGGACUUUCUAUCCCCCGGUGGCUGCAGGAACCCUGGGUUGAUUUUGCAUCAGGAGCAUCAAG